GGUUUCUUGAUUGGUUAAGAGAUUUAACCUGCCCACUGAUAUUUAUUGAAGGGCCGCAGUAUUUUGACUGUGCGAAGGUAGCAUAAUCAUUAGUCUUUUAAUUGAAGGCUAGUAUGAAUGGUUGGAUGAGGUAAAUACUGUCUUAUAAUAAUUAUACCUGAAAUUAGAUAUUAAGUUAAAAUACUUAAAUAGUAUUAGGGGACGAGAAGACCCUAUAGAGUUUAAUAAGAACUUGAAUUAGUUGAGUUAAUUAAUAAUUUUUGGUUAGUUUAAAGGUUUAUUUGGUUGGGGUGAUCAAAAGAUAUAAAAAACUCUUUAUUAAAAUAAAUAUUCUAAUUAAAUUUGUGAUCCAUAAAAUUGUGAUUGAAAGAUUAAAUUACCUUAGGGAUAACAGCAUAAUUCUUUUAAAGAGUUCAUAUCGAAAAAAGAGAUUGUGACCUCGAUGUUGGAUUAAGAUAAAUUUUGGGUGUAGAUGUUUUUUGUGAGGGUCUGUUCGACUUUUAAAUUCUUACA
rnacentral:rRNA from 1 species